rnacentral:lncRNA from 1 species
UUACUUGUUUCUGAUGGUAACAUUCUUCAACAGCUCUUGAUUUAUAUUAGUAUGGAUUACCUUACUCUAAGAAAACCUGAUUCUCCAGUGGAUAGAUUUAUUUUCAGCUAAACCUUUGUAGUCUGUACUUAACCAUGAAUUACUUCCUGGUUUAAAAAACAGGCGUAGCUAUUUGUGGUAUUUUUGUCUUGCGCCUUUGGCAUCUUAGCGGUGUGAACCGGAGCUAUGCCAUCUGUAGUCAAGUGAGAUUAUUAAAAAAGGGGGGGUGGGAAGUGAAAUGAUUCACUGGAAAAUUUCAGCACAGAUUCUUAGGGAACGAUAAGAUAACCCUAGAAACAUUCUUAUUUGGUGUCAUCUGCUGGUGGGUAGUGACAGGGAAAAAAAAGAAGGUACAACUUGUUUCUUAAGAUUUUGCUAUUUUGAAAAUCAGAGAGGUGCGGUGUUAGAAAGGAAGAAAGAAUUGCUUGCAGUGUCAUUUAGCAGAGCUCUGCAGAUGAAUGAAUAAUUUUCCUCUCUCUUAAUGCAAGUUGGAGCCAAUGAGGUUCAUUUUUAGCACGCAAAACCCAAAAGGCAAUAUUCUCAUGUUUACGAUGGUUGUCUAAUUUCCUGAUGGGUGUAUGUGAUAAAACUCUUUAUGCUGAGAUACUUCAGAAAGAGAAGGACCCGUUCCUAGAAUGCUAAGUAAGUCUGUGGGGCCUAGAUGAGCCAUUUCUGAAGUCUGCUGAGUUUAACAUACCUUCACUUAACGACACGUGUUUUAACCUGAAUAUAUUGAUUUCAGGGAAUUCUUCCAGAAUUACAUUUGAGAUUCGCCUAAAACAUGAUGUCUUUUUUUCUUUGCUUUCGUUUUCAGAAAGAAGACAUAGCUCAUCCAGCAAGCCGCCUUUGGCCGUUCCUCCCACUUCAGUAUUUUCCUUCUUCCCUUCUCUGUCCAAAAGCAAAGGAGGCAGUGCAAGUGGAAGCAACCGUUCUUCCAGUGGAGGUGUUCUUAGCGCAUCCUCAUCAAGUUCCAAGUUGUUGAAAUCACCCAAAGAGAAACUGCAGCUCAGGGGGAACACCAGGCCAAUGCAUCCCAUUCAGCAAAGUAGAGUUCCCCAUGGUAGAAUGUGAGUAUGGCCAAGAGGGUUUUUAAAGCUUACCUGCUGGAAAUGAAACUGUGUACACUAGUGGCAUGUGAGAGUGCCUGUGAGUAAUAUAAAAGAGAGUCUACUUGGGGAAGAAUUCAAAUGUAUGUUGUAUUGUUUCUUGAUGUUUCCCUGUCAUGUCAUAGGAAACUUUUCAGAGUAGUAAUAGCAGUGAUAAUAAGGUUACUAACAUUUAUUGAUCCAUUCUUGUGUGCUAGCUACUGAAACCUAACUCUAUGUGUGUACUAUGUCACUUAUCACAACAACCCUAUGGAAUAGGUACUGUUACUAUCCUCGUUUUCCAGAUGAGGAGAAGGAAGCUUCGUGAGGUGGGGGAGUUUUGUCCAAAAAGGCCUCAAGUCACAUAGGCCUGGAUUUGUGUCCCAUUUCUGUCACUUCUUAGCUGUAGGGGUUUGGGCAAGGCACUGUUUCUGUCUAAGAAUAACAGCCACUAUGCUGGGUUAUUGAGAAUAUUUUAGUUAAUAUAUGUCUAGCACCUGGCAUAGUGUCUGGCCAUAGGGGACGGUUAACAAAUGGAUACUGGCACUCCUGCUACUGCUGCUGUGGAUAAUAGUAAUGAUAAAAAGAUGCAGAGAUUCCCAGAUGCUGCUGUAGAAUUUUUGGGGGUCUACGGAGCAAAUAGGGAAGCAGUGCUUCCUCCCUUCAGCCUUAGGUUCACAUCACAGCAGUGAUGAGGGAAGACUGAAGGAAGUUCACACCUGCCAGGCAUGGCUUUGGCAAGUUUCCAUGGUCACUCAGUAGAUUGACAGGUUUCUUGAGGUCACGUGAGGGAGCAGCCACGCACUCCAAUAGGAACAUGCUUCGCCUUGUCAUGGCAUCCCUCAGCCUGGUGACGGAUGGCUUUUCUUGGGCCAGCCUGCUUUUGGAGGGUAUAGCACACAUCGUAGGUCCAAGAUCCGGUACAUCUUGCUAUAACUGAAACUUUAUGCUCAUUGAUUAGUAACUCCUUAUUUCGCUCUUAAAGUUGUACCAACUAUGCCAAUACAUUUGUAUUAUGUGUAGGGGCAUGCACACACACAUUUACAAUAUUUUGUAAUAUAAAAGAAGGAAACGUGGGUGAAUUCAUUUAUGUUUAUGGAUAUGUGAUUAGGGGCCACUGUAGCUCAUGUAAACUCAUCCACUCCUCAGGAUUAGCAUCUCCUUGCAUUUUUACAGACUGAGAUCUCAGCAGUAUGGAAUGGUCAGGUUUAACUUGAGUGAUUGGACUCAACUGCCAAUAAGAUUUGCCCAACUCUGACCAGUUCACACUUGUACAUUCAACUUUAUCUUCUGUUAGCAAUAGUAUUAGGCUUAUUUGUUUUGUUUUGUUUU